AGCGAACGCUGGCGGCAGGCCUAACACAUGCAAGUCGAACGAACUCUUCGGAGUUAGUGGCGGACGGGUGAGUAACACGUGGGAACGUGCCUUUUGGUUCGGAAUAACUCAGGGAAACUUGUGCUAAUACCGAAUGUGCCCUUCGGGGGAAAGAUUUAUCGCCAUUAGAGCGGCCCGCGUCUGAUUAGCUAGUUGGUGAGGUAACGGCACACCAAGGCGACGAUCAGUAGCUGGUCUGAGAGGAUGACCAGCCACACUGGGACUGAGACACGGCCCAGACUCCGACGGGGGGGAGCAGUGGGGAAUCCAGCGCAAGGGGCGAAAGCCUGACGCAGCCAUGCCGCGUGAAUGAUGAAGGUCUUAGGAUUGUAAAAUUCUUUCACCCGGGACGAUAAUGACGGUACCCGGAGAAGAAGCCCCGGCUAACUUCGUG
rnacentral:rRNA from 1 species